rnacentral:rRNA from 1 species
GCCCUUGAAUUAAUCAAAGGUGUAACCUGCCCAAUGAUCUUAGAUUUAAUAAAAAUAAUCUUUUAUAAUAAGAUUUAAAGGACGCAGUAACCUGACUGUGAUAAUGUAGCAUAAUCAUUUGCCAUUUAAUUGAUGGAUAGUAUGAAUGGUUGAACGAAUUCUUCACUGUCUUAAAAAGAGAAAUCAUGAAAUUUAAAUAAUAGUUAAGAUGCUAUUUAAAAUUGUAAGACGAAAAGACCCUAUAGAGCUUAACUAUUGACUUUUUAAAAAAAAUAAAUUUUUAUAUUAGAAAGUUAGGUAGUUUAGUUGGGGCGACUAUCUUCUAAAAAUAACGAAGACAAGCAAUGUUAAUAAUUAACUUAUUGUAAAAUCAAUAAAUUUAACAAUUACAAAAGUAGGCUAUAAUGACCCGUUAUAUAAAAAUAAUAUUAAUAACGAUUAAUAAAUAAAAGCUACCUUAGGGAUAACAGGAUAAUUUUGUUUUAGAGAUCCUAUCGAAAACAAAGUUUGUCACCUCUAUGUUGAAUUAAGAUAUCCUGAUAAUGCAGAAGUUAUCAAAGGUAGGUCUGUUCGACCUUUAAAAUCUU